GGCCUGUGGCUCAGUGGUAGAGCACUUGCCUAGCAUGUGUGAGGCACUGGGUUCAAUUCUCAGCACCA
rnacentral:tRNA from 1 species